UAGGGAAUCUUCCGCAAUGGACGAAAGUCUGACGGAGCAACGCCGCGUGAGCGAAGAAGGCCUUCGGGUCGUAAAGCUCUGUUGUUGGGGAAGAACAAGUAUCGGAGUAACUGCCGGUACCUUGACGGUACCUAACCAGAAAGCCACGGCUAACUACGUGCCAGCAGCCGCGGUAAUACGUAGGUGGCAAGCGUUGUCCGGAAUUAUUGGGCGUAAAGCGCGCGCAGGCGGUCCUUUAAGUCUGAUGUGAAAGCCCACGGCUCAACCGUGGAGGGUCAUUGGAAACUGGGGGACUUGAGUGCAGAAGAGGAGAGUGGAAUUCCACGUGUAGCGGUGAAAUGCGUAGAGAUGUGGAGGAACACCAGUGGCGAAGGCGACUCUCUGGUCUGUAACUGACGCUGAGGCGCGAAAGCGUGGGGAGCAAACAGGAUUAGAUACCCUGGUAGUCCACGCCGUAAACGAUGAGUGCUAAGUGUUAGAGGGUUUCCGCCCUUUAGUGCUGCAG
rnacentral:rRNA from 1 species